UAUAACAAAAUACAGAUUAACAAGAAGUAUACCAAUUUUUUAAUGUUUUAUGCGACAUGGGAGCUCUUAGAAAUGAAGACCAAAGAAACAGGUCAGGUGGAUUUCACAGCACCCUAAUACAGAGGUUGUUAAUAGGACUGCACAGGCUGGCACCUGGAACUAACUCAGAAGAUACGCUGCCAUGGAAGUUGCUGUAAGUUUCCACAUCUUGACAAGAGAACUGUUAUAAUUGGGCUGUCAGAGCACACAACCCCCACAGAGGUCAUCUCUGCAUGAAUAAACUGCAUCCCUGCCAUGUAGUCACGGAAGUAGUCAGAAUUCCUCUUGACGGAACCAGAUUCCAAAAACACCUUCUCCAAAGGCAAGAGACAGCUUAUUAAAUCUGUCAAGCCCACGGCCUGGUACCUUGUAAGCCCUGUCCAAUUCCUUUCAGGCCCUUGACACAGGCUACUUGGCGCUACUCCGUUAGCAGGUGCGAGAGGAGGCAGCAGCAGGCGCUGGCUUCCCUGCACUCAGCAUGACGUCUUUUCAUAAAUGCCCAUGGGAUGCCUUACCUGAGUGGGAAAUCUAUGCUAAACGGGCGCUGGGACGUGCUGAGACAGCUUAUUUAUCACUGAAUAUGGCAAAACUCUUCACUUGCUCUUUUGGGGGAUAAAGGAGAAUGUCACCAACUAUGGGUGAAGUGGAAAAUGUGCCCUAUCGAAUCCUCCACAUUGUAACCAGCACGUGCGCGUUGUCCUUCCCCCCCUCCU